rnacentral:rRNA from 1 species
UAGGGAAUAUUGGACAAUGGGCGCAAGCCUGAUCCAGCCAUGCCGCGUGAGUGAAGAAGGCCCUCGGGUUGUAAAGCUCUUUUGUCCGGAAAGAAAAGCAUCGGGUUAAUACCCCGGUGUUCUGACGGUACCGGAAGAAUAAGCACCGGCUAACUUCGUGCCAGCAGCCGCGGUAAUACGAAGGGUGCAAGCGUUGCUCGGAAUUACUGGGCGUAAAGCGUGCGUAGGUGGUUCGUUAAGUCUGAUGUGAAAGCCCUGGGCUCAACCUGGGAAUGGCAUUGGAAACUGGCGGACUGGAGUGCGGUAGAGGGUAGCGGAAUUCCCGGUGUAGCAGUAAAAUGCGUGGAGAUCGGGAGGAACAUCCGUGGCGAAGGCGGCUACCUGGACCAGCACUGACACUGAGGCACGAAAGCGUGGGGAGCAAACA